AACUUUUGUUAUCGAGCGAAACCGGAGGGUUUACUGAGCUGUGGCUCCAUGUAAAUGCUGAGCAUCCACUCGACGGCGGUCAGGUUUUUAUAUGGGACGAAUCCAAAGACCAGGUCAGCGAUUCCAGAACCCAGAGUGUUCCAGUGUUCACUGGAUGGCGAGCCAA